GUGCGCGGCCUCCCAACUCCCGGCUGACGGAAUCCUCCCUAGUCCCCGCCCAGUUUGCCCAUUUUCCAAAAAAUCAGAGCAUAACCCGUUCUAACCCGAUUCUCUGCUCUGUUAUGUUAUGUCUGCCCUCCUCUGAUGCUUGGGAAAUCGUUUGUUCUGUGGCUUCUCCUGAGGAGAUGGAGGAUUUUCAGAGCUUGCAGAAAGACUAGAAAGCUGUGGCUAAGAGAUUAUGAAACCCGUUGGCAGCAGUGACAGGUUUAGAAUGCUGGUCUCCUGACAUGGCAGCCAGGGCAAUUGCAACCAAGCACUCUGACUUCUCUGACUUCCAAUCAUCAGCCAUCCUCAUGAUGCCUUCCACUGGCUGGGCUGGAUUCAGCUCCAGGAGUCCACCUACCUCAGCCUGAGAGCAAAGGAGAAGGGCUAGCUUCCCAUCAAAGGCUCUCUCUGGAACCAACGUUCACUCCUGUCCAUUAGAGCAUGAAGAGAGUUGUAGUCCUUCUGCCCACAACACUUCUUCCUGCUGUUGUCUUAUGGGGCUGGGAGGAAGACCCAGGACAAUGUACCCUGAGACUUGUGGACUUCUAGUUCAUUCAAUUCCUAGGAGCUAAUUUCAGAAAAGCAGAAUGGGCCAAGAACUUGAUGACAUGGUCAUCUUAGACACCUGCUACCUCCAGUGUAUGAGUUCUCCUGUUUUAAUGCCCUUUCUCCUAUGGACACCAGUUUUUACACCAAAAGAAUGAAGACAAAUAAAUAAAAAUGAAAGGCUCCGGGAAAUACGAUUUUGCUUAUAGAGAUUACGAGACAGAUCAUUUUAAGUACAUAAGUCCUUCUUUACAUGUGGAUCUGAAACUGAGCUUCUCUUUACUGACCUGUCACCAAGAUCCUAAUGGGAGUCUACAUUUUAGUACUUUACAAUAAAGUUUUGUUUUGUUUGUGUUGAAAAAA